AAGGAGCAAAGGACAGCGAGCUGAGGAACAGACGCGGGGAGGCCAAGGGAUACCGGGAAAGCCAAGCGAAGCCCUCGGGCCCCCGGCGACCGGCGCUGGGCGCAUGGACGUUCUUACGCGAAGAGCAGAGACACCCUGUGCCUUGCUCCUCCGCGAGUUACGCACGCGUUCGGGGCGCAGGGUGCCCCCCGAGUGUGUCUGGGCAGAGAUUCUGGACGCCCGGGAGCCGGGUGAGUUUCCUCGGGAUCACAGACUCCUGCCAUCCGCCACCUUUGGGAGCGGGCAGAAAAGCUUUUCACCCCAAAAACUGUCCUUGGUGGAGAGCCUGUGAGCGGCUGUCGCUUGUUUUAUCCCGUCAGUAUACAACAGCCAGCGACCCCGUUUGGGCAGGCGGGCUGCACGCACCCCGCCAGGGACCCCCAGUCUGCAGGGCAAGGCCUGCGGGGGACGGAGGGCCGGGCCCGGCCUGCAGCGGCCUUGGGGGUCUGGCCCUCCUCCUCGGCCGCUGAACCCCACGGGGAACCUCGUGUUCUCCGCGGCCAAGCGCCGGGUCUUACAGAACAUCGGUGAGGAAACAAUGCUUUCGGUAGCCCACAUGCAGCCCCGUGACCUGCAGGCCAGAGCGGACGGGUGACCGCCACCCGCGGCCCUGCGCCGACCACGAGGGAGAAACCCCGCGCUCCGAGGGUCAGGAUAUUUGUAAAGCAAAAAGCCUUGGAAGAUGGAAGCAGUGUUUCCUUCUGGAGCAAAGGGAAGAAUUGUUUGGUACAACGAAGAUAACAUCUCUCUUUGGGACAAAAUUCAGCAUGUGUGUCUGGCAUUGUGCCCCGGGAAGCUGACUCCUGCAGGCCCAGGCUUGUCUGCCUUCUGCUCUGGCCAAUGCGGGGCAUUGACAGAAGGUAGAGCGGGAUCAAGCAGUCGAGUUUCGUCCAGAUCUCCAGCUGGCUUGGAACCUUGCUGAGGCUCCAUCAAGUCUGCCAUUCGAAGAAGAGAUUUACUUAACAUGAGAACUGCCCAAAAAAUGAGAUGGCAUUGUUCCUCAUUCUACAUCAAGAUGUGAUAAAAGAGAGAACCUCUUUCAGGUAUGGUGCAUUAGCUACAUGUAUCCUAAGUAGAGUCAACUCACUUCAGCCAUGAUUUUGGUGCCUAAGGAGGGACUGCGCUCCACGGACUCUCCAGACCAUGUCACUUACCUCCACCACACAGCAGUGCUGGGACUCUGCAAGAUUCCACAUAUAAAAGAGGCAAGGAUAUACAAUGGGAAAAAGUCAGUCUCUUAAUAAAUGGUGUUGGGACCUCAACAAUGACCUGAAACCAUAAAACUCCUAAUAGAAAAUACUGGCAAUUUUGUUCUAUGUAUGUCUCCCCAAGCAAGGGAAACAAAGCAAAAAUAAACAAAUGGAACUGUAUCAAACUGAAAAGCUUCUGCACAGCAAAGGAAACCAUCAAUGAAACGAAAAGGCAAUCUCCUAAAUGGGAGAACACAUUUGCAAAUGAUGUACCUGAUCAGGGGUUAAUAUCUAGAACAUAUAAAGAACUCAGACAACUCAACACCAGGAAAACAAAUAAUCCAAUUAAAAUAUGAGCAGAGGACCUGAACAUUUUCCAAAGAAGACAUGCAGAUGGCCAACAGGCAAAUGAAAGAUGCUCAACAUCCAGUUAUAUUUAAUCUCAUUAUAUGUCCAUAGUAACAAUUAGUGCUUGCAAUAACCCUCUUUGGUAGGCACUAUUAUAAUCUUAAUCUGUCAGAGGAGAAAAAUUAGGUACAUAGAAUUUAAAUACCUUAUGCAAGUUCACACAGCCAUUAAAUAUAGAGCCUAAAUAUCUUACCCACUGUGUAAUGUGAUUAAGAUUCUUUUUUAAUCAAGCUCUAUUACUGAAAUAUAAUUGACACAUGACAUGUAAGUUUAAGGUAUACUAUAUGAUGUUUUAAGACAUAUCGUUAAACUCACUGUUUUAAAGAAACAGCUUUUUGCUAUUGGUGUAAUAGAAUUGGUUAGCAUAUUAUUGUUGAAUAGCCAAUUUUUAAUAGAUUUUAGUUUUUACAGCAGUUUUAGGUUCACAGCAAUACUGAGUAGAAAGUAGAGGUUUCCCACACACACCCUGCUACCACACGUACAAUUUCCCCCAUUAUCAGCAUCUCCCACCAGAGUGGGGCAUUUUUUAUAAUGGAUGAAUCUGCUUGGACACAAUGUAAUCACCCAAAGUCCAUCAUUUACAGUAAGGUUAAUUUUGGUGUGCAUUCUUAUGGUUUGGACAAAUGUAUAAUGAUAGUUACAGUCAAAUAUUAGUUAGCGCCUUAUACUAAUUAGUUCCCUAUAGUAUCAUACAGAGAAGUUUCACGUCCUAAAAAUUCUGUGUGCUCUGCCUAUCUAUCCCUCCUGCCCACCUAAAUCCCAGGCAAGGACUAUGUUUUAUAAAAGAGAAAAUCAGAACUAUAUGUCACAUAAAAUAAAUCCACAAAUUCAUUACAUCAGUCAGGGUAACUUACUCUGGAUUAUCAUCAAUGUGGAAUCGGAAUCCGUACCAACCUUACGUAGGCCUCUACCAGCAAGCAAUACUCCUUCACAGUUCUGAGUUCUGCUCAUGAAUCCUCCUUUUUACUACCAAAUAUUAAGCUCUGCUUUGAUGUUAUCCCCAAGGAUAACCUUAACUAGCAUCUUCAGUAUCAUUUGAGGGUUAUUUCUUAACAUAUUUUUAAAUCUUAAGAAAUGGAUUAUUUUCUUCACAGAUUUUAUGCCGCAUCUCAGCACAUCAGCAUAUUUGAUGAUGGCUCUCUGGUUAAGGCUGUAAACCAUGUACAGGGACAGUGUCUUCAGCACCGCUAACGCCAGCCUCAAAAGUUUUAUCUCCUAAGUAUUGCCCACAGUUUAAAUCGAAGUAACAAAUGCACAAUUAACCUGAGCAGAGGGGAAAUGCCCACUCAGCACUUCGGAAAAUGAUCUGGGUGAGUUAUGAGUCAUCUCAUUUUGCAAAGUAGCAAUAAAAGUGAGUCUUUCAUUUUGCAAAGGUGCCACUGGCAUUUACAGCAGAUGAUUCGAAUAAAGGAGAAAAAUAACUUCUGCGUUUUAUCAGAACAGCAGCAUUUUAUCCUGGUCAUGCAUUUUUGCCUCUUCAGUUUUCAUCCAUCAAAGGAAAAUUCUCCACAAGUUGUUGCCCAGAGUCGCGUUAUUCCCCAGUG